AACGUAGGAGCCAAGCGUUAUCCGAAUUUACUGGGCGUAAAGCGCGUGCAGGUGGUAGGGUAAGUGGGCUGUGAAAUCUCCCGGCUCAACUGGGAGGGGACGGUCCCGACUGCCCGACUAGAGGCAGGUAGAGGGAGGUGGAAUUCCCGGUGUAGUGGUGAAAUGCGUAGAUAUCGGGAGGAACACCAGUGGCGAAGGCGGCCUCCUGGACCUGACCUGACACUCAGACGCGACAGCUAGGGGAGCGAACGGG
rnacentral:rRNA from 1 species